rnacentral:rRNA from 1 species
CCCAGACUCCUACGGGAGGCAGCAGUGGGGGAUAUUGCACAAUGGGGGGAACCCUGAUGCAGCGACGCCGCGUGGGUGAAGGAGCGUUUCGGCGCGUAAAGCCCUCUCGGCAGGGAAGAAGGAGGACGGUACCUGACUAAGAAGCCCCGGCUAACUACGUGCCAGCAGCCGCGGUAAUACGUAGGGGGCAAGCGUUAUCCGGAUUUACUGGGUGUAAAGGGGGCGCAGACGGCAGCGCAAGCCAGGAGUGAAAGCCCGGGGCCCAACCCCGGGACUGCUCUUGGAACUGCGCGGCUUGAGUGCAGGAGGGGCAGGCGGAAUUCCUGGUGUAGCGGUGAAAUGCGUAGAUAUCAGGAGGAACACCGGUGGCGAAGGCGGCCUGCUGGACUGCGACUGACGUUGAGGCCCGAAAGCGUGGGGAGCAAACAGGAUUAGAUACCCCCGUAC